UACGUAGGUGGCAAGCGUUGUCCGGAUUUACUGGGCGUAAAGAGCGCGCAGGCGGUCGUUCAAGUCGCGUGUGAAAGCCCCCGGCUCAACCAUGGGCUUGCAGUCGAUACGGGCGGGCUAGAGUUCGGUAGGGGAGACUGGAAUUCCUGGUGUAGCGGUGAAAUGCGCAGAUAUCAGGAGGAACACCGGUGGCGAAGGCAGAUCUCUGGGCCGUAACUGACGCUGAGGAGCGAAAGCAUGGGGAGCGAACAGG
rnacentral:rRNA from 1 species